rnacentral:lncRNA from 1 species
AAAAAAAAAAAAAAGAACAAACAAAGAAAAAACUAAAAAGAGAGAGGAGAAGAGAAGGGAAUCAACAAGAAAAGAGAAAAAGAGUUAGAGAGAAAAGUGGGGAGAAAAACUAAGAGAAAGCAAAAGACAGUAACAUAGAGAAAACAAAAGUGGACAAAAUUUUCUUUUAGAAAUCAUAGAGAUUUUUUUUUUUUAAAAUGUGGUAGACAGCAAGUUGGAGUUUGACAGUUGGAUCGUGAUUUCGAGUUCGUGGCUUCUUAUUUCUUUUAUUGUAAAUUAUUUUUGCAACAGGUAACUCUCAAUCCUUCUUUGCAUUAUGUAACGUCGCCAUUAUACGAGAAUUGAUUCCAUUAUUAUGAAGUUUCUCAAGUUUCACAUGUGUUUAAACGUUCAUAAUUUUAUAUAGUUAAAUCCAGAGAAAAAUUCAUAUAUUAUAUGAUUUUUUUUUGUAUGCUUAACUUAAUUUAUUUUUCCUUAAAUUGAUAAGAAAAUUGUUACGUACAAUGUUGGUAUUGGCAUAUAACGUGUAAUAUAUAGUAGGUAAAUGUUAGUUCAAAUAUUAGAUCUAAUAAAGUAUAAAUAGUAAUGUGAAAUACAUAUACGUUAGUGAAUUUGGGAUCUUUAACAGUAUUUCUUUUGGCUCCACAUUGUUAGAGUUGAAGUUAAUAUAACAUGGAAAUUGCAUGUUUGAUAUUUUUAUCUCGAUUGAGAAUGCGACAUACGCAUCUUUUCAAGUCAUUUUAAAUUUAUAUUUUCUAAAAAUUAAUUUUCAUGGUUUAUUUAAUAUAAGAUAAUACCCAAGUUUUCGGUAUAAUAAAAAUGAGCGAUUUUAGGCCUUAAUAUAAUUUAUCAAAAUGGUUUAAGUCGAGAUAAGUCAAUAAAAGUGCCCAUGCUAGAACCACGGGACUCGAGGGGUGGCUCACACCUUUCCCUCGGUCAACGAAAUUUCUUACUCGGUCUUCUGUUUUCGCAGACCAUAACAAAGAGUCAUUUCCUUUUGACUAGGGAUUCAAAAAGGUGACUUGGAACAGCAUAACUCAAUUCCAAGUGGCGACUCUAAAAAUGAUAAAGAUAAUUCCUUUUCAAAAUCAUCACUUUAAUUGGAAAAACUCUUCGACCUCGACUCGGCCUUCGAGCGAAAAAAGGGGUGUGACAAUAUAUAUAUAUAUAUAUANNNNNNNNNNNNNNNNNNNNNNNNNNNNNNNNNNNNNNNNNNNNNNNNNNNNNNNNNNNNNNNNNNNNNNNNNNNNNNNNNNNNNNNNNNNNNNNNNNNNNNNNNNNNNNNNNNNNNNNNNNNNNNNNNNNNNNNNNNNNNNNNNNNNNNNNNNNNNNNNNNNNNNNNNNNNNNNNNNNNNNNNNNNNNNNNNNNNNNNNNNNNNNNNNNNNNNNNNNNNNNNNNNNNNNNNNNNNNNNNNNNNNNNNNNNNNNNNNNNNNNNNNNNNNNNNNNNNNNNNNNNNNNNNNNNNNNNNNNNNNNNNNNNNNNNNNNNNNNNNNNNNNNNNNNNNNNNNNNNNNNNNNNNNNNNNNNNNNNNNNNNNNNNNNNNNNNNNNNNNNNNNNNNNNNNNNNNNNNNNNNNNNNNNNNNNNNNNNNNNNNNNNNNNNNNNNNNNNNNNNNNNNNNNNNNNNNNNNNNNNNNNNNNNNNNNNNNNNNNNNNNNNNNNNNNNNNNNNNNNNNNNNNNNNNNNNNNNNNNNNNNNNNNNNNNNNNNAUAAUAAUAAUAAUAAUAAUAAUAAUAAUAAUAAUAAUAAUAAUAAUAAUAAUAAUAAUUAAUAAUCCACUGAAAAGUUAUGUACGAUUCAUGAAUAAUAAUUAUCAUACUUUGAAUAUUAAGGACUAUAUAUAUUGUAUUUGUUUGAUGAUAUCGCUGCAACAUAAUCUACAUUAAAUUUUAUAUUCCUAACAACAUGUAAUUGUGGAUAGAGUAAUUGAAGCAAACAAUAUCUUAAAUUUGAAUAAACAACUCCAAGAUAAUUUUAUAAGCAACUUUGUAGCAUUAUAUUUAACAUUAAUGUACAACUAUAUCAUAAAAUAAAAUAAGGAUAAAUAUGAUAUUAUGUACAACUAUAUCAUAAAACAAAAUAAGGAUAAAUAUGAUAUUAGUGUCCUAUUUUUUCAAAUAUACAUUUUUAUUUAUAAGCGAAUUAUUUCUAACAAAAGAAUUAUAACGUAUAGAAGAAUGUGACCUUUUGAAUUUCAACAAUAUAAACAGUUUAUUCUCAUAUCGUGAGAUCUGAAAAGGAUAAUGUGUACAUAAUUCAUAUCAUUACCUCGGUGGUUAGAUAGAUUGGUGGUUUUCGAUAAAUCCUCAGCUCAAGACAAACACAAUAAACAGAUAGUAAUAGAAAAAUGCUACCAAAAAAUAAUAUUACAAGCGAUCUACCCAAAACAACAUACAUUGAUAUGCAUCCAAGAACCAAAAAUCAACAAGCAUAACACUAAUUUUAGAUUUUUUUACUUGUUUAGAGUAUGUUUACAUAUAAAUAAACGUAUUUAAUAUGAUUUAUUUUUAUCUUAUUCUAUAUAUUUUAAUUUCUUUAUUUUGAAAUAAUUGAUAAGAAAAUUCGAGAUACUUAUACAUGUAAGACACACACGACGAAAAAAUUAAUGUAAAUAAGACAAAAAUAAAGUAAUUGUGUACAAAAUGUACGCAUAUUAAGGUGUAAGGUGGGGGUGGGGUGGGGGACAAAUUUUAAGAAUUGUAAUGAACUGUUUUAACAAUCUAACAAUACUUUCAACUUAAAACCACUUAAUUUGUAAUAAAUUAAUCAAUAAUGUAUGUUCUUUUUUUUGCCUUUGCCUUAAUUUUUUAUUUUUUUAAAGUUAUAUUAUUCUACACAAAAUAUGCGAUUACAAUAAUUAAUUUAAAAUAAUUUUAUAAAAUUUAGGCAAUGAUUAGUGUCGCAAUAUAUACAUGAAUAUUUUUUACUUCUUUAAGAGUAUAUUUAUAUAUAAAAAAAUAUUUAGCAGGGUUUUAUUUUAAAUUUUAUCUUGUUAUGUAUAACUAUUAUUUUGAGAUAAGGAAAAAGAACACUAAAUUGCUUAUGCAUACUACAUACCAAACAUAAUUUAAUUUACUAGACAAAAAUAAAGUAAUAAAAAUACAAUAGACAAGAGUAAGAGCAAAUUUUAAGAAUAUAUUAAACUAAUUAGAUCAUACAAAUAUUACUAUUCAUAAAUUUAAACCGGAGAUAUGUGAAUUAUAUAAUAAAUUUUAAAAUAAAAAUAAAAUAAUAUUAAUAAUAUAAUAUAUUUAAAUUAUGAAUAAUAUAAUAAAAAAAUAUGAANNNNNNNNNNNNNNNNNNNNNNNNNNNNNNNNNNNNNNNNNNNNNNNNNNNNNNNNNNNNNNNNNNNNNNNNNNNNNNNNNNNNNNNNNNNNNNNNNNNNNNNNNNNNNNNNNNNNNGCCUCAUUUUUUUUAUAAUAAUAAAUUACAAAUUUUAAGAAAUAUAUUAAAUACUAUUUAUAGAAAAAAGAAAUUUUUUAUAUAAAAAAAAAUUUAGGAGUUUGAUAUAGAAAAAACUUUUUAAUGCAUUGACUAUAUUAUUAAUUAAAAAAAUUAUUAAAUACGAUUAUAUAAUUUUAAAAAUAGACUUUAUAAAAAUAAUUAUUUUUUCUUAAAAAUGUAAGGCCUUCAUUUGAUUUUUACCUUAGGCCACAUAUUUGUUUGAGCCGCCCCGAAUAUAAAUUGCAAUCACUUCAUUGUUUUAGUUGAGAUUGAGUCGCAAUAACCUUUAUGGAUAAGUUCAAAAAUCACUAAGCAAUUGCAAACGCUUGCUGACACUUGAUAUUGGAUGGAACAAAAUAAAUGGCACCACACCAGAGUAGUUCUGAGAAAGUCUCUUAUCUUUGUGAAAGCUUAGGAUGACAGAUAACAUUUUAUUGAUGGAUGGUUCCACAAUAACUAUGCCAUUUUAGAACCUUGCCUACCCGCACAUCAUGCAGUUUUCAAAAUUACUUAGGUAUGCUGGUGCUGAAAUAAAGCUCUUUCUUUAAAUGGAUUGUGCACUAAAAAAGUGCACAAUCGAAUAAUAAUAUAUUGUGCACUUUUUAGUUCACUAUCUAUAAAUAAAUGGAUUGUGCACUAAAAAAGUGCACAAUCUUUAAAAAAAUGAAUUGGCAGGUGAAGUAUAUGUGAAUAGAUUGUACAUGCACAAUCCAUUAGUGCACAAUCUAUAAAAAAUAGAUUGUGCACUUAAUAAGUGCACAAUCCAUAAAAAAUGGAUUGUGCACAAUCCAUAAAAAAAGAAUUGUGCACAAUCCAUAAAAAAAAGGAUUGUGCACAAUCCAUAAAAAAAGGAUUGUGUACUUAUUAAGUGCACAAUCCAUACAAAAAUAGAUUGUGUACUUAUUAAGUGCACAAUGUGAUUUUAACACCGUCCAGCCGUCUGCCGUUAAAAUGUAAAGGUAUUGUGCACUUAUUAAGUGCACAAAGCCUAUUUUGAUAUUUUUUUAUAUGGUUUAAAUUAAUAUUUUUUUAGUUUGAUGGCAUAUUUUUGUUUUGGAUUCCCCAAUGAGCCAUAUCAGCUUGUAGAGUAGAAUGACUAAAAUACCCUUCAUGUAAAUUUCUUAUGAUAGACACCAGACAUGUCGAAACCCCUUUUUCUAAUAUAUAAAAAAAUAUAAUGGGACAGCAGUUUACAAGUGCAAACAGAGAAAAGUUUAAAUUUAAGUCUAAUUAAUUAAUUUGUAUAAUUUUCAGAAAGAUCUAUAUAUUAGAAGAGUUGCCUUCAAUAUGGCAACUUAAUAUUAUUGGAGAAAAGAUUAAGAGUAUUGUGGUCUUCAAAAAUUGUUACAAAAUAAGGCUGACUAAGUAGAGCUGUUCGUUGUGUUUUCUUAUUUGGACUUCAGCAGCAAUUUCAAGAAAAGGUCCACACUUUUUCAUUAAACUACAAAUCAUGUCCUAAUAAAAUAUUUAUUUUUUCUCAUUAAAUUACAGAUCAUACCCUAAUAGAAUAUCAAUGAAUGCAGUGGGGCUCACUGAACUUUUAUAAAUCUAAAUACUAAGAAAUGAUUAGGUAAUUUUAAAAAAAAAUUUAUAUUAAAGUUAAUAUCGAAAAAUAAAACCAACCAAAUAUAUAAGAAUUUCAUAUAGCUUAAUGACUGUAUGGAAGUUUUUACCCGAACAAGGAGCGUGUCAGAAUUUAAUACAUACUUCAGUUGAGCCCAUGUGUCUAGUGGUUCUAACCGUGAAAAAGGGGCGCCCUUUUCUAUAACUUUAACAGGCUUAAAGAUUCACGACUCACUAGACGUAGUCACUAAGACAAAGCCAAUAAAAGCAGUACUAAAUUCGACUGUACCACCAUUUCAGAACCAUGUUAGGAAACUAUAGAAAAAUUUCUUUAUAUUUUGAUAGAGUUUGGAUCUUUCAUAGCUAUUAUACAAGAGAAGUUAGAUCUUCAGCACAAAUAUGAAAAUUAUUUAUCCGGACAUAGUCAUGGCCAAAUAGGAAGAGAGAGUAUUAAAGAACACAAAUUAAAAUUUUAUAAAUACCUUAAUUGGCCGAAUAUAAAGCCUGAAUAGUAAUUUAUGACAGAUUUUUAUUCCAAACUUGGGAAUAUUAUACAAGAGAGAUGAAGAACUAGAGAGAGAGACUCUGGAGAAAAAAAAAAGAAAAUUUAAAGCUUAUGCCUUCCUUAACAAAUGAAGACACCUAUUUAUAGAAAAGAAAAAGAAUCUAGAAUAGUAAAAUGGGUUCCACAUCCGGGUCCCAUGCAUAGUGGAUCUACUGUGUAGGAAUUUGCCAAUAGUACUAAGGAUCCCACAUCCGAGUCCCAUGCAUAGUGAAUUUACUAUGCAGACAUCUGGGAAUAGUAUAUCAUAUUUUAUUCUUCCCUUUUAAUUUUUUAAGAAAUUCUUCCAUUCUUGCAAUGGCAUCUUCUGACAGAGGUCUAUCUGAAGUGAUAGGCUGUGAGUCUUCAACAUCUUCUUCAGUGAUAUCAUCACAAGUUAUACUGUUCAUUGAUGUGUCUGAUUUGUCAUGACUAUCAACUGAUUUCAUCAGAUUUUUUCAGACUUCUUCCAAAUGGUUUUUUAUCAUUUCAAUUUUGUCGCCGUCAUGCACAACGAUUCUCCUUGCAAUGUGUUUUAGUGAAUUUUCCUCGAUAAUAUUUUGUUGAGGGACGAUUGAAUAUUGUUGAAAUUUAUUUUGAAUAGAGUCCAAGAGUUUUUGUUCAUGCAAUAUUUUUAUUUUGGGAUCCUUUCUCAUUAAUUUAUUCCAAAAAUUAUUAUAAAAUAUCCUAUAUAAACAUGGGAUUUGUUCUCCCAUGAAUCUAAAUUUCGAAGCCCAUUUAUGAAUGCAAGGAAUAGAGAAUUCUUGGAAGAAAUACAUUUGUUCAAUUUUAUCCAAAUUGCAGACAUGAUUUGCACGAUAUAAUUCGUUUAACUGAGGAGAGACUUUGGCCAUUUUUUGUAUAACUUUAAAAAUGGGUUUGGUAAUAUCUAAAUGGUUGGACCAUGAUAGGACCACCAAUUAAAAAAACCAAUUUCGUAUUGAUUCUGCAUAGGUCUUUACACAUGUCUAUCAUUAUUAUAAUAAAGGACUUUAUCAAAGGCCUGAAUGUAGUCCCAAUAAGUAAAAUUUAUUUUGAAACCUUUAAGCAGUAUCUGUUUUUCUGUCACAGUGGUCAUUCCCCAAUCUUCUACGGAUAUAAUCCAUUUAAUAACAAUUUUAGAGAAGUUAUAAAUGCAUUCUUCACUGUUAUAACCAAAGAAAUAUUUGCAUUCUGUACUCCCAAUCGUACUGAGAAUAAUUUCAUAAUAAGUGUGGGUUUUGUAAGUGUAAUACCCCAUACUUUUUCCUAACUCGAAAUCAUCUCAAGAAUGUUAGAAGCUUUCCUUGAAAGAUAAAUCCACUUUUUUACACGUAGUAUUUUUAAGAUUUUCACUUUUUGUCACGAGAAAUUGAAUUAUCUUUUCAAUGAUACCAAUUUCGUCAAAAUCUGACAUCGGAGGAGAAAGUUAUGGUCAAAAUACAGAAGACAGUAAAACCGCCCAGAUGCGACAGUGAGACCGAUGGACCGUCGGACUAGCGACGGACCGUUGCCCACGACCGUCGCAGUAAGGCAGUGAGAACUACCUUCUGCCUAGGAGCAAUGACCCAAGCCGACGGACCAUCGCAAGGGAAAUAGUGAGGCUAUCUUCUGGAUAAGGUGCGAUGGUUAUGUUGAUGGACUAUCGAAAGUGCGAUGGACCAUCGCCCAAGACAUCAUAGCUAAAAUAGUGAGACCCCAUUCUGCCUAGAAGCGACGGUCAGGGCCAACAGAUUGUCAACCCAGCGACGAAUCGUUCCACCCACCGUUGCAGAUCCCAUUCAGUUUUUUUUAAGUCAUUUUAACAGGGGUAUUUUGAUCAUUUACCACCCACUUAUAUAUACCCAGUUAUAUCCAAUUUCUGCUCAUUUGUUCAUUAUUAUUUCAAUAAUAACAUUAGGGUUUCUCUCUGAAAUUAAUCCCUAAGAACAAGAAUCCAAAUCUUCUCCAAGAAACUAAGAGAUUCAAAUCCCUCAAGUUCAAGAACAUCAAGAAAACUCAGCCCAGAUAUGCGUAUUAUUCAUUCAUGAACUCCUUUCAUUCAUGAAGCCCAACAAUCCUUUUCUAAGCUCAAGUUUAUGGAUUUUCUUUAUGAUAUUUAUAUUGGGUUUCUCUUGUUCAUGUUGAUAAUGGCUAAUUGAAUUUUUAAUCCAUGUUUGGUGAUAAAUUUAUGUGGAAUUGAUUAGUAUAGAUGUAGAUUCAUGUCAACCUAUGAUUAAACCCUUGAAUGAUGAAAUUAAAAUUGAACCAUUUUGUUUAAUUGUUAUAUAAUGUUGUCUGCAUAUACUAUGCCUAUCAUGUGUUUGAUUAAAUGCCUAGAUACAGGAAAAUGCCCAAUUAGUAUGAUAUCAUAAAAUCCCUAUGUAUGUAUAAGUUUAUGCAUAUCCCAUGGUUGAUGAAAUGCUUCGAUAAAUGAUUUAUGGAUAAUGAUGUUAGUCAUAUGCUCGAGUAAGUCAUGCUUUGUCAGUUUUCUUUUAUCGAGUCUUGGGGGUACUUAUACCUAAACAAUUAGCUAUGUGCAUAGAGAUAUGUCAUGGUUUCACGAUAUUCUUAGUCAAGCUAUGUUCCUUAGACUUCAGAUAGUCUUAUGACUCAGGAAAUCUCCAUGAUCUCAUGAACUCAGUCAGUUAUCAGAUAUCAGUAGUAUUUCCUCCAGUCAACAUAAUUUAGUAACUCAGUCUAGUUAGUUUAGUUAAUCAUGUUCAGUGUCUAUUCAGAUGGGAGUAGGGAUUAGCACCGAGUGAACCUAAGGAUGGAAACUCACCUGUUAUAUGAGGGUGUGAUUCUUAGAAGCAGUUCUUGUAUUCCGGAAUUAUGUAGCCAAUAUAGGUUAAGACAUCAUAGCCUGCUAUAUGAGGGUCGUUGAGGUGGCUUAGCCUGCUAUAUGAGGGUUUCUACCAUUCUCACUAGAGUUACCUGUUAUAUUAGGGUCACUCACAUAUUGUCCUUACCAGUGGCGCAGUAUUGACACCCCUCCAAUUAGGGCAUAGAUUGGACCCCAGUUCAGCUAUAAUGCAUUAUUUGGGGCAUGUCAAUUAGAUAAAUAACUCCCACAGUCUUAAUAUUAGUCUCAAUAAAACAACUCAGAUAGUUCUUCAGAAUUUAAGACUGUCAGAUACAGCCAACUCAGAUACAGUAUGGAACUCAGCUAGUUCUAUCAGAUUCAGGACUGUCAGAUAUAGUUACUCAUGUUAUUAGUUAUUUGAAUUCAGUCAUUAGUUAUGUUAGUCAUCAGCAUACUCAUCUUAUCAUGAUUUCAGAUAUAGUUACUAUGUAUGCAUGCAUGUAUUAUCACGUAUAUAUUAGUCAGUUAGAUAGUAUUGUUCAUGCAUAUAAACCCUAUACAUUCAGCCUACCUCAUAUGCAUACCAGUAUAUUCAAAGUAUUGAUGUAUUUGGGCUAUGGUGUCUUAUACCACAAGUUCAGAGACACGAGCUCCAGAGCUUCAGUAGAUUCCAGAUAUCAGCAGUGAGUCCUCAUCCUUCGAGGAUAUGAUUAUUUAUCUAUUAUCUCAUUAAUUAGUUUAUUAGUUGGAGUUAGUUGGGGACAUGUCCCAUCAACUCCUUACUCAAACAGUUUAGUCAGUUAGAGGCUUUCCAAACUUUUAUGUUCAGACAGUUAUUUCAGUUGUUUUGUUUUUUUCAUACCCCUUUUCAGAUGUUAUGUUUUACUUCAGAUAUGUGACCCUUAUGGCCUUUCAGUUCAUGUUUCUGUAUUAUUUAGUAUUUUAUAUAGUAUACAGGUACAAAUAUCAGUCAUGGGUUAGCUUGUGGUCCUUCGGGGUUAUGAGCACUGUGUAGCAUACCAGAUUUAGGGCGUUACAAACUUGGUAUCAGAGCCUAAGGUUCAAUAUAGUCAUAGGAAGUCUGAAAGUCGCAUCUAGUAGAGUCUUGUACAUGGGUGUGUUACACGCCACAUUUAUGUGCAAGAGUGUAUAAGAUAUUUUAGGAACAGUUUUCCUUCUUUCAGUACUCAUGUUGUGCUAGUGAGCAUAAUCUUAAGUCGAUCUAUGAGUCUAAUCCGUUUCUUCUCUUUAUUUCAGAAUAUGCCUCCCAAGAGAAGAACCCAGCUUGUCCAAGAAGAUCUCUUGGACGAACAUGUUUCUCAUGCAGAGUUUAGAGCUGAAUUCACUACUCUUGCUCAGUCAGUUUCCACUCAAAAUGAAUGUCCAACAGUUAUUCUGACAAACCCAGUGUCCAAUUCAGCUGUAGCUAGGAUUUGUGACUUCACCCGAAUGAAUCCUCUAUCCUUUCUUGGGUUUAAAAUAGAUGAGGACCCUCCAAAAUUCCUAGAUCAAGUUCAAAAGGUUAUAAAGAUAAUGGGGGUUACUCCUAGUGAGAGUGUUGAGAUAUCUGCAUAUCAGUUAUAGGAUGUUGCUCACACUUAGUUUAAGCAGUGGAGGUCAGAGAGGGCAGAUGAUGGAGGGCCAGUUGAGUGGGAGGAGUUUGCUUCUGCUUUUCUUGAUAGAUUCUUUCCCCUAGAGCUUAGAGAAGCUAAGGUGCUAUAAUAUAUCAACCUCAGGCAGGGAAAUAUGAAAGUGAAAGAGUAUUCUCUUAAGUUUACUCAAUUAGCCAGAUAUGCCCCUCAUGUGGUUGCAGAUAGCAGGGUAAGGAUGAGUAAGUUCAUUUCAGAGGUGAAUAAUAGCGUGGUUAAUGAGAGUAUAUCCUCCAUGCUGAAUAGUGACAUAACUUUAACUAGGCUCAUGACUCAUGCUCAGUAGAUAGAGGAGCAGAAGAUUAAGAUAAGGGAGAAGCAGAAUAAGAGAGCGAAGACAGGUAGUUUCAACUUUGCUCAGCCUAAGUCAGAAGAAGAAAACCGUUCUCAGUUUCAUCCUAAGUCAUUAGUUCCAGCUCCUUCUUCAGCCAGUUCUCCAGUUCCUAAGUUCAUAAAGGGUAACAAAGAUAGAGCGCCAGGCUCUAAGUCCCAAGGCAGUGUUAGUAGCGCUCGCACCUAUCCUCUUUGCCAGACUUGUGGAAAGCACCAUCAGGGUAUUUACAGAGCUAACAGUGGUAUUUGUUUCGGAUGUGGCAAGCAUGGCCACAGAGUCAGAGACAAUCCUCAGGGUCAACAGAAUCACUUUUCAGCUUUGUCCGAUCGCCUAAAUCAGUAGGGUGCCACUUCCAGUGCUACUAGUGGGCAACGCCCAAAUCAUCUAUAUGCUCUUCAAUCCUAACAAGAUUAGGAAAAUUCUCCUAAUGUGGUUACCGGUACGUUACAGAUCUUUCAUGUGCAUGUUUAUGCUUUGCUAGAUUCAGGAGCUUCUUUGUCUUUUGUUACUCCUUAUAUAGCAGUUGAUGUUAGAGUCAGUCCCAAAAUUCUAGUAGAGCCCUUUUCAGUCUCUACCCCAGUGGGUAAAACCAUCAUAGCCCGGUGGGUAUACAGGAACUAUCCGAUUAUGAUAUUUCAGAAAGUCACAUCAGUAGACUUAGUCGAAUUAAAGAUGAUUGAUUUUGAUGUCAUUCUUGGCAUGGAUUGGCUUUAUUCCUUCUAUACCAAAGUCGACUGCAGAAAUAGAAUAGCCCAGUUUCAGUACCCAAAUGAACCUGUCCUAGAGUGAAAGGAUAGUGUAUCCGCUUUCAGAGGUCAUUUUGUUUCGUACCUUCAGGCAAGCAAAUUAAUAUCUAAGGGAUGUGUCUAUCAUCUUGAUCGUGCUAAGGAUUCCCGUUCUGAGACUCCCAGUCUUGAAUUAGUCCCAGUAGUGAAUGAAUAUUCAGAUGACUUUCCCGAAGAUCUUCCAGGAAUUUCUCUCAAAAGGGAAAUAGACUUCGGCAUUGAUCUUCUUCCAGAUACUCAGCCUAUCUCUAUUCUUCCAUACAGAAUGACACCAGCAGAACUCAAAGAACUAAAAGAGUAGUUGAAGGAUCUCUUAGAUAAAGGAUUCAUCAGACCCAACAUUUCCCUGUGAGGCGCUCCAGUAUUAUUCAUGCGCAAGAAAGACGGUUCUCUCAAAAUUCAACUCAAUAAGGUCAUGGUCAAGAACAAGUAUCGUCUUCCCAGAAUAGAUGACCUGUUUGACAAACUUCAGGGAGCCAUUUAUUUCUCUAAGGUAGAUCUCAGAUCCUGCUAUCAUCAGCUCAGAGUUAGGGAAUGUGAUAUUCCAAAAAUAGCUUUCCAAACUCUGUAUGGUCACUUCAAAUUUCUAGUCAUGUCAUUUGGUCUUACUAAUGCCUCAGCCACUUUCAUGGAAUUGAUGAACUAUGUGUUCAAGUAUUUCUUGGACAUGUUGUCAUAGUCUUCAUAGAUGAUAUUUCUAGCCUAUUCCCGUAGUGAGCACGAUCAUGCAGCCAUCUCAGGAUAGUACUUCAGACUCUCAGAGAUCAUCAGCUAUUUGUCAAAUUCAGUAAGUGGGAGUUUUGAAUAAGUUCAGUAGCAUUCCUUGGUCACAUCGUUUCUGGUAAUGGCAUUAGAGUAGAUUCUCAAAAUACCAAAGCAGUAAGAAACUGGCCUCGCCCUGUCUCUCUAUCAGAUAUUAGGAGUUUCUUGGUUUUGGCUGGCUAUUAUAGAUGGUUUAUUGAGGGAUUUUCUUCUAUUGCAUCCCCUUUGUCCAGACUGACUCAGAAUAAAAUCAAGUUUCAGUGGUCAGAUCCUUGUGUGAAGAGUUUUCAGGAGUUGAAGACUCGACUCACCUCAGCUCCAGUUUUAGCUCUUUCGGAUGGUUCAGAUGGGUUUGUAGUGUAUUGUGAUGCAUCCAGAGUAGGUUUGGGUUGUGUCCUCAUGUAUCAUGGUAAGGUUAUAGCCUAUACAUCCAACAGCUUAAAUCCCAUGAGUAGAAUUAUCCUACUCAUGAUCUUGAGUUAGCCACCGUAGUCUUUGCCUUGAAGAUUUGGAGGCAUUACCUAUAUGGAGUUUAUGUAGAUGUCUUCACAGAUUAUAAAAGUCUUCAGUAUAUCUUUUCUCAGAAAGAUCUCAAUCUUCAUUAGAGAAGGUGGUUAGAGCUCUUGAAAGAUUAUGACAUGAGCGUCCUCUAUUAUUCGGGCAAGGCCAAUGUAGUGGCCAACGCUCUUAGUAGACUGUCUAUGGGUAGCGUUGGUCAUGUGGAUGAUAGUAAGAAGAAGUUAGCUCAGGAAGUACAUCAGCUUGCCAGACUAGGCGUUCGCUUAGUCGAUAUAAAAGAUGGUGAUGUAUGGGUUCAGAGUAGUUCAAAAUCAUCUCUAGUUUCUGAGGUGAAAUAAAAGCAAGAUAGAGAUCCUAUUUUAGAUAAUUUGAAAGAUUCAGUUAAGUAAAAAGUGUAGGUUUUCUCCUAAGGGGGAGAUGGUGUCCUUCGUUGUCAGGGUCAUCUCUGUGUUCCAGGUGUAGAUGACUUAAGGCAGUGAAUUCUUGGAGAAGUGCAUGGUUCGGACUACUCUAUUCAUCUAGGGGCCACAAAGAUUUACCCUGACUUAUGGGAAAUCUAUUGGUGGAGUGGGAUAAUGAGAGAUGUUGCAGAGUUUGUGGCGAAGUGCUCUACAUGUCAGCAAGUUAAUAUAAAGCAUCAAAAGACUAGUAGGUCCAUGCAGGAGUUCACCAUUCCUACUUGGAAGUGGGAAGAUGUGAACAUGGCCUUCGUGAUGGGUUUAUCUCGGAAUCGUCAUCAUCAUGAUUCAGUUUGGGUCAUUGUAGACAGAAUGACCAAAUCAGCUCAUUUCCUUCCAGUUCAUACCUCUUAUUUAUCAAGGAUUAUGCUAAGCUCUACAUCAGAGAGUUGGUCAGAUUGCAUGAUAUUCCAUUAUUUAUUAUCUCAGACAGAGGUACCCAGUUUACCUUUCAUUUCUGGAAAGCAUUCCAAAAGGGUCAUGGUACCCAAGUUUAUCUCAGUACAGCCUUUCAUCCUUAGAAAGAUGGUCAAGCAGAAAGGACCAUUCAGACUUUAGAAAAUAUGUUGCGUGUGUGUGCAAUUGCUUUCAAGGAAAGUUGGGAUGACCACUUGCCUUUGAUUGAAUUUGCAUACAACAACAACUAUCAUCUAGUAUUCAUAUGGCUUCAUUCGAAGCUCUCUACGGUAGGAGAUGUAGAUCUCCAAUUGGUUGGUUCAAAGUUAGUGAGGCCUCAUUCAUAGGGCCUGACUUAGUAUUCGAUGCCUUAGAGAAGGUUCAGUUGAUCAGAGAAUGACUCUGGGAUGCUUAGAGCCGAUAGAAGUCUUAUGCAGAUAUUUGUAGAAAGGAUCUCGAGUUUGAGAUUGGUGAUUUUGUCUACAUAAAGAUCUCUCCCAUGAAUGGAGUGAAGCUAUUCAGCAAGAAAAGAAAGCUCAGUCCUCGAUAUGUUGGUCCCUUCAAGAUUCUCAGUCGCUUUGGCAAGGUAGCUUAUGAGUUCAAUUUUCCUUCAGACCUAGCCUCAGUUUACCCAAUUUUCCAUGUCUCUUUGCUCAAGAAGUGCAUAGGUGACCCAUCAGUUUUAGGCCCUAUUUAGAGCAUUGAUGUUUAGAACAACCUCUCUUAUAAAGGGAUUCCACUUGAAAUCCUAGACUAUCAGACUCGUAGACUGAGGAACAAAGAAGUCCCUCUAGUUAAAGUUCUUUGGAGAAAUCAGUCUGUCGAGGGAGCUACUUGGGAAGCAAAAGCAGACAUGCGUACCAAGUAUCCUCACCUCUUCUUCGCCAACUCAGAUCAUGUUCUCCUUAAGCUUACUUAGUUUCAUGUUCAAUAUUCAUCACAAACUUGGUACCAAGUACCAUUUCAUAUUCAGUCAUGCAUUCAUGUAUCAUUUUAGUUAUAAAUUAUGCAUCAAAUAUGCAUUCUAAUCGUGAGAAAUUUAGUUCCUCAGAACAUCCAGUCAUGCAUUUAUGAAUCAGUUACACAUGCAUAAGAUAUGCAUGUUCAGUAUGAUAUAUUUCAGUUAUCAGUCCUAUCAGUCAUGAGAUCAUGUUUUAGUUAUUCAUGUUCAGUAUGUACGUCGGUUAUCUUCUCCCCUCACUCUCACUCUCAUUCGAGGAUGAAUGUUCUCAAGGGGGAGAUAUUGUAAUACCCCAUACUUUUUCCUAGCUUGAAAUUGUCUCAAGAAUGUUAGAAGCUUUCCUUGAAAGAUAAACCCACUUUUGUACAUAUGGUAUUUUUAAUAUUUUCACUUUUUUUUUUCACGUGGCAAAUUGAAUUAGCUUAUCAACGAUACCAAUUUCGUCAAAAUCCGACAUCGGAGGAGAAAGUUAUGGCCAAAAUAAAGAAGGCAAUAAAACCACCCAGAUGCGAUGGUGAGGCCGAUGGACCGCCGGACUAGCGAUAGACCGUCGGCCAUGACUGUCGUAGCAAGGCAGUGAGAACUACCUUUUGCCUAGGAGCGAUGAACCAUCAGACUAGCAACGGACUAUCGCUCAGACCGUCGCAAGGAAAGCAGUAAGGCCACCUUCUGGAUAAGGUGCGAAGGUCAGGUUGAUGGAUCAUCAAACUUGCGAUGGACCGUCGCCAAAACUGUCACAGCCAAAACAGUGAGACCCCAUUCUACCUAGAAGCGACGGUUAGGGCCGACGAACCGUCACACCCACCAUUAUAAAUCCCGUUCAGUUUUUUUAAGUCGUUUUAAUAGGGGUAUUUUGAUCAUUUACCACCCACUUAUAUAUACCCAGUUAUAUCUGAUUUCUGCCCAUUUGUUCAUUAUUAUUUCAACAAUAACAUUAGGGUUUCUCUCUGAAAUUAAUCUCCAAGAACAAGAAUCCAAAUCUUCUCCGAGAAACUAAGAGAUUCAAAUCCCUCAAGUUCAAGAACAUCAAGAAAACUCAAUCCAGGUAUGCAUAUUGUCAUUCAUGGACUUCUUUCAUCCAUGAAGCCCAACAAUCCCUUUCUAAGCUCAAGUUUAUGGAUUUUCUUUAGGAAUUUUAUAUUGGGUUGCUCUUGUUCAUGUUGAUAAUGGCUAAUUGAAUUUUUAAUCCAUGUUUGGUGAUAAAUUUCAUGUGGAAUUGAUUAGUAUAGAUGUAGAUUCAUGUCAACCUAUAAUUAAACCCUUGAAUGAUAAAACUAGAAUUGAACUAUUUUUUUUAAUUGUUAUAUAAUGUUGUCUGCAUAUACUAUGCCUAUCAUGUGUUUGAUUAAAUGCCUAGAUGAAGGAAAAUGCCCAAUUAGUAUGAUAUCAUAAAAUUCCUAUGUAUGUAUAAGUUUAUGUAUAUCCCAUGGUUGAUGAAAUGCUUCGAUAAAUGAUUUAUGGAUUAUGAUGUUAGUCAUAUGCUCAAGUAAGUCAUACCUUGUCGGUUUUCUUCUAUCGAGUCCUGGGGGUACUUAUACCUGAAACAUUAGUUAUGUGCCUAGAGCCAUGUCAUUUUUUCACGAUACUCUCAGUCAAGCUAUGUUGCUUAGACUUCAGACAGUCUUAUGACUCAGGAAAUCUUGAUGAUCUCAUGAACUCAGUCAGUUAUCAGAUAUCAGUAGUAUUUCCUCCAGUCAACGUAAUUUAGUAACUCAGUCCAGUCAGUUCAGUUAAUCAUUUUUAAUGUCUAUUCAUAUGGGAGUAGGGAUUAGCACCGAGUGAACCCAAGGAUGGAAACUCAUCUGUUAUAUAGGGGUGUGAUUCUUAGAAGCAAUCCUUGCAUUCUGGAACUAUGUAGCCAGCAUAGGUUGAGACAUCAUAACCUUCUAUAUGAGGGUAGAUGAGAUGUCUUAGCCUGCUAUAUGAAGGUUCCUACCGUUCUCACUAGAGUUACCUAGUAUAUUAGGGUCACUCACAUGUUGUCCUUACCAGUGGCGCGGUAUUAACACCCUUCCAAUUAGGGCAUAGAUUGGACCCCAAUUAAGCUAUAAUGCAUUAUUUAGGUCAUGUCAUUUAGAUAAAUAACUCCCACAGUCUCAAUAUCAGUCUCAAUAAAACAACUCAGAUAGUUCUUUAGAAUUCAGGACUAUCAGAUACAGUCAACUCAGAUACAGUAUGGAACUCAGCUAGUUCCAUCAGAUUUAGGAUUGUCAGAUACAGUUACUCAUGUUAUUAGUUAUUUGAAUUCAGUCAUUAGUCAUGUUAGUCAUCAGUAUACUCAUGUUAUCACGAUUUCAGAUAUAGUUAUUAUGUAUGCAUGCAUGUAUUAUCACGUUCAUAUUAGUCAAUUAACAUACAUUCAGCCUACCUCAUAUGCAUACCAGUACAUUUAAAGUACUGACGCAUUUGCACUAUGGUGUCUUAUACCAUAGGUUCAGUGACACGAGCUCCAGAGCAUCAGUAGAUUCCAG